rnacentral:misc_RNA from 1 species
AGUUUUGCAAUUAUUGGCUGCCAUGGUAGCAUUCUCUGUUUCCAGGUGUUUUGACACGAAUACCAGUGACAAUGACAUAGUGAUAGAACAGGGCAAGGCUGAGGCAGCAGACGAUAAACUCUUGGGUGGAGAAAAAGAGGCAGGAAUCUAAUGAAAAGAGCUUGAAGUUUAGGAUUACUUGUACUAUGUAUCAUAGUACUUCUACUAUGAGACUUUAAUAGGUGAUGCGAAGUAGGCGAUAUCAGCAAUGAAUUCGUGUGUAAAACACAACUGUUAUUCAAUAGCAUGUUGUUUAAGACACAACAACGAAAUAUUCAUGAGAUAAAAUUCCAUUUAUACCAUUGCUUUAUUUUUAUGCUAAAUUAUCUCAAUACACCCCCCUUUCAAAAAAAAAAAGAUCGAGAAUCGGUGGUAUUCUUUUCUAGUAUAGCCUUAUGUAUGUUUGCCAAAAGUUCAUAAUUUUCUAUAUUACUUUUGAACCUUUUCAGGUGAACCCUUCCAGUUUGGAACACGUAUGCAUUUAACUGUUAUUAAUCAUAACCUUUAAUUUCAACGAACAUUUGCCCAUUGGCUUGUCCAUGAUUAAUGUUACACAAAUGUAUACUUGGGUUGAAUGAACAAUAAUCUUACGAGCUCCCUUGGUAAGAAAUACUUGUAUUGUCUAAUAUGGAGUGGAGGGUUAAGUUUCCGUUCCAACUGGCUCACAUAAUCGAUGUUGCCCAAAACAAAUUGAAUAUUCGUUUUAAUUAAAGAAGAAUUUAAAAC